rnacentral:sRNA from 1 species
CUGUGGAGUGUACAAGAACUUGUGAGUAGUGACUGAUUUAUCAGCAUAAAAGCAUACACGAUGAAACAGUAA